GCUGGGCAUGGUGGCGCAUGCCUGUAAUCCCAGCUACUGGGGAGGCUGAGGCGGGAGAAUCGCUUGAACCCGGGAGGGGGAGGUUGCAGUGAGCUGAGAUUGAGCCAUUGCACUCCAGCCUGGUCAACAGAGUGAGACUCCGUCUCGA
rnacentral:sRNA from 1 species